GUCGAAAUAGUUUACCUGGUUAAAACAAUUUCCUUGUAAGAAAUAAAAAUUGGUUCGAGUCCAGUUUUCGGCU
rnacentral:tRNA from 3 species